GCACCCCUAGCUCAGCAGGAUAGAGCGACCGCCUCCUAAGCGGUAGGUCAUCGGUUCGAUUCCGAUGGGGUGCA
rnacentral:tRNA from 1 species